GUCUCCAGCUCCAAAAGCCCUCAACCCUUGCUGCUGAUAGAGCUUCACAAAAGAGAUGCAACGAGCCGGUCCUGCUGAUUCUGUACACAGGCGUGUUCUCCACCAGCAGGUAUGCAGUGCUGUUGACCACUAAUGUCUUGAUGUUACUUGAUGUCUGCUUGGAGUCCCAUUCCCACUUCGGAGGACAACCUGUCUCUGAUCUGCAAGGUAACGUGGCAUCCGAUCCACGCAGUACCUGGACGACUUCACGUUGUGGAACAAACAUUAAAAUAGUUUCCACGCAUUCACAAAUAAUUCAGCCAAAUACACAACCAACCAAUUCUUGAAAUCAGAUGGAAAUAUUAUGCCCUUCUACACCCGAAAACUUUUCACAAGAGAUGAUCAUUACUCUGAAACAGCCCUGCUAUGUAACCGUUUUGAUUGUCAGAUGUUAACUUACCUUUUGCAAAAACAGGAGUAUAUCCUGGUGUAAGAAACAACAAAAUCCAGCAACCAAUGGAAAAAUGAUGAAUCAUUGUUCAAUAUUGAAGGUUGCGUCUGAUGGUGUCAGGGAUUAUUGCUUAUGAGCAAAGCAGAGUGGAACUCCAUAUCAUGCUUCCUCUCAGCAAGGAGGUGGGUGCAGUGAUAUCAUUUCACCCUGUAAGAGAUAUAUAUAUAUAUAUAUGUAUACGUCACAGAAGGAAGCUAACCUUAGCCACCAACUGUGGGAUAGUCGCUUCCUUUUGUCACUCAGUAAAGCAAACAAAAAAACUCAAGUCCAGUUAGAAAGAGCCUGCUUGUCAUCAUUUGAUUUCAAAAGCAAAGUAUAAUUUAUUAAAAUGUGCAGUACCCUUCCUUCAGUUAUUGUAUUUCCUUAUUGUAUUUGUAAUUGUAUUUAUUUUUUGGUUCAUAGUUGCUGCUUAAAAUUUUUAAUUUUUAACUUCAUGGGGCCAUGAGGGUGAUUGCAUCUCCAACACAACAUUCAUCCUCGCGACAAAGUGCAUUUAGCUCCACCAAGUGCGGAAUGUUCCAUUGAAUAGAACCCGGACCUCCUAUGGCGAGAAGAAAUAAUGAAGUAUAAAGACUAAGCUAAAAUUAGAAGCAAAACCA